UACGGGGGGGGCAAGCGUUGUUCGGAAUUACUGGGCGUAAAGGGCUCGUAGGGGGCCAACUAAGUCAGCCGUGAAAUCCCUCGGCUUAACCGGGGAACUGCAUCUGAUACUGGAUGGCUUGAGAUUGGGAGAGGGAUGCGGAAUUCCAGGUGUAGCGGUGAAAUGCGUAGAUAUCUGGAGGAACACCGGUGGCGAAGGCGGCAUCCUGGACCAACACUGACGCUGAGGAGCGAAAGCCAGGGGAGCAAACGGG
rnacentral:rRNA from 1 species